UGUAAAAAAAAAAAAAAAAAGCUUAACUCAACUUGGCACACACUAGCAGGUGCAUAAAUUAAUUGGGGCUCCUCAAGAAUUGUAAACCCUGGGGUGUCCCCCUUUGUGUAAUUGAGCAGAGGCAGUGAUGUCCCGCCCGCGACAGGAUGGAGCACUUCCUUCUCCGCACAAGCUGACUGCUGUCAGGGGAGAGUCCCUGAUCAAAGGUCUUCUAAGGGAUUUCAUUCACUUUCAUUCUGGUAUUAAGCACCUACUGUUUACAAGGCCCUGGGUUUCUCUUGACCUUCUUCUACCACCUCGACCUUGAUGGACUCUCCAGGCAGGGAAGCACUAAUGUAAGAAAAAUGCUAUCACAACCCUACGGGCACCUUCGACCAUGUGAUUUAUCAUUGAAAAGGAGAGAAGAGAAUUGUUUAUCAGCAAUGCCUCCCGUGUUGGCAGUGCCCUGGAGGUGGAGACUGUAGAGGGUGUCUUCCCCACUCACCAUCAGGGAUUCUUGUCUGGCAACGGCUAGAGUUUACCUCCCUUUGGGAGAGUUUUAGAUUGUGAAGCAUGAAGUGAAGGAUUUUCCUCUCCUUUCAUCCAUCCCCAAGUGGAGCACCAGCUGCUAGGGAGACCUAGCAUUCCUUUCAACACAAGGGAUUAAAGGGCAUGUGGCAAGAGGAUCUCUUUCAAAGAGCUGGUGGAAGGUGAUCAAUGACCUAGGAAAUCAGAGUUGAAGAAGGAACACUGGUGCCUUGAAAUGUUCCCUAGAGCUCUGACCCCAUGAGGGUUUUAACUAAAUGGCUACUUCGUUUAUUGGAUUUAUCCACAGCACAUAUUUAAAUGGAAUGAACGGAGGAAAGAACCACUAAAGCUACAUGACCGAAAAAUGACAGAAAGCUUUUGAAGGUCAAGGAACAUAGCACAAUCACUUUAGACUAGUGGGAAAAUGAAAUUCUUCUCAGGACCUUGUAGACCUGGUGGUACUAUCGAUUCGAAAAUGGAUAUAGUGCUUGAGAAUGCGUAUGUUUCAUACUAAGUGACUAUGUACUGAAUUAUAAUAGCUUUGGACAUUCACUUGAGAACUUAAUUAAUGACUUACAUGAAAUGUUAAUAUCAUUAAUACCAAAGGAAUUAUUUAUUUAUUACUGUCAUCACAUAUUACAAAGCUGAGCUUCCAAGCUCCUUUGUGAAAACAAAAACAGGGAACCCUGGGUGGCUCAGUGGUUUGGCACCUGCCUUCAGCCCAGGGCCUGAUCCUGGGGUCCUGGGAUCGAGUCCCACAUCGGGCUCCCUGCAUGGAGUCUGCUUCUCCCUCUGCCUGUGUCUCUGCCCUCUCUCUCUCUCUGUGUCUCUCAUGAAUAAAUAAAUAAACUCUUUAAAAACA
rnacentral:lncRNA from 1 species